rnacentral:lncRNA from 1 species
CAUUAAGUAUCUAUUGUUUACUACUGUUAGGCUGGAUAAAUGAAAAUAUUUCAUUUCUUUUUAGAAAUCAAAGCUGUCAUUUAUAAGCUAAGAGGAUUUAAGAAAGCACUUGGAGGGACAGCAUUUAUAUAACAUGCUAUAAAUAUUAAAAACCCAAGUCCAUUAAGCAUUAAGUUGCCUAUUUUUAUAAACAGAUCAUACUCACCUUAAACGAAUAACCAAACCAGGAAAAUCUGGCUCCCUUCUUCCAUCUUUUCCUUCUACCAUAUCCUCAGAGCCUUCAGGAGCUUUUUAUACCAGAAAAUCUUUUCCUGUCCCAUUAUCUUACUUUCAGAAACUUCCUCUAAUCCCCCCAAAUAUGCAACCUCCUUAACGAGGAUGAGACAGGCACAUCCACCCACCUGCAGCCAAGGGCAGCAGCUGGAAAGGCUCCUUGCAGCCAUCUUCUCCCCUCCAAGGACAAGAAGCGCCAAGACAAUGCCUGAACAGCAGGGGAAAUUUUCCAUUUAUAGUGAAUAACAUUUCAUUGAAAAUGCAGAGCGUAACUCAUUCCAUGCUCUUCAAUUAUGGCAACCUCGAAAAGUGAUCCACUGGAAAAAAAAAAAAAGAAAUGCUUCCUCAGGCUUCUCCCUAUUUAUCUUCCUGAUUAAUAAGACAAUACUACUGAAUGCUGAUGAGACUGACUUUAAAACCCACAGUAGAGGGGAAAUGGUCCAUGGGCCAGAACCCCAACCAGCAGCUUCUCUAGAAUGAAGUAUCUGAGAACCACUGCAAAAACGCAGCAUCUAAUGCCUGCCAUUCCAUUCCACGCAACCUAAUAUUAUUCUAUGUCUUACAUACAUGCAUGUAUCAGUAGGUAAUUAUUUAUGCUACCAAAGUUAGAGCCUAGUUAUUUUAAGAAAGUCAUAUGUGUAAAACCCAUACUUCCAAAUCCUUUGGA